ensembl:snoRNA LOC120101317 small nucleolar RNA SNORA17
CUUGACUCUAGAGAGGUUGCAGGUAUGUCUGCUGUGUCACAUGCAUGUUCACUGGUGGCAGAUGGGAGAAAGGCUAUGUCUGUGCUCAGUGUUCUGACCUAUGAACAUCUAAAUAAUUAAUAACCUAACACU